rnacentral:rRNA from 1 species
CAGCCGCCACGGUAAUACGUAGGGCGCAAGCGUUAAUCGGAAUUACUGGGCGUAAAGCGUGCGCAGGCGGUUCGCUAAGACAGGUGUGAAAUCCCCGGGCUUAACCUGGGAACUGCGCUUGUGACUGCACAGCUAGAGUAUGGCAGAGGGGGGUGGAAUUCCAUGUGUAGCGGUGAAAUGCGCAGAGAUAUGGAGGAACACCAGUGGCGAAGGCGGCGACCUGGACAAGUACUGACACUCAACUACGAAAGCGUGGGGAGCAAACAGGAUUAGAUACCCGCGUAGUCCCUGUCUCUUAUAC